rnacentral:rRNA from 1 species
UACGUAGGUGGCAAGCGUUGUCCGGAUUUACUGGGCGUAAAGAGCGCGCAGGCGGUCGUUCAAGUCGCGUGUGAAAGCCCCCGGCUCAACUGGGGAGGGUCACGCGAUACUGAUCGACUCGAAGGCAGGAGAGGGAAGUGGAAUUCCCGGUGUAGUGGUGAAAUGCGUAGAUAUCGGGAGGAACACCAGUGGCGAAGGCGACUUCCUGGCCUGUUCUUGACGCUGAGGCGCGAAAGCUAGGGAGCAAC